GUCGCUGCCGCCACCACCACCAUGCUGUGCAACAAGGAGCGGACCGGUUACCAGGGGGGCGGCGGGAGAGCGCGAGGCGGCGCGCGGAGCAGCGCCCGGGAGAGGAAGCCCAUGUCCCUCCGCAUAAAUCAGGAGGAAGGGAGGAGGUGCCACCGCUUCUGCAGCAGGAGCAGUGGACUGGGAGUCCCCAAGAUGAUUGGGAACCAUCUAUCCUGGAGUGCUGGCCAGGACAGCCGGAGGGAGCAGCCACCUGACUGGGAGACGAAAGCCAUCAUAAUUCAAAGAGCCUGGCGCAACAUGCUGUACCGUAAGCAAAGCUGGAGCAAUGGCUGCGAGGACAACGUGUGCCGUCACUAUGACUUGACCCCGGAGAGGCCACUUCACGCAGCCCU
rnacentral:lncRNA from 1 species